GCUGGUGUGGCUCAGUUGGUAGAGCAGCUGAUUCGUAAUCAGCAGGUCGCAGGUUCGAAUCCCGUCACCAGCUCCA
rnacentral:tRNA from 1 species